UACGUAGGUGGCAAGCGUUGUCCGGAAUUACUGGGUGUAAAGGGAGCGUAGGCGGGAAAGCAAGUUGAAUGUUUAAGGUACGGGCUCAACCUGUACAAGCGUUCAAAACUGUUUUUCUUGAGUGGAGUAGAGGUAAGCGGAAUUCCUAGUGUAGCGGUGAAAUGCGUAAAUAUUAGGAGGAACACCAGUGGCGAAGGCGGCUUACUGGGCUUUAACUGACGCUGAGGCCCGAAAGCGUGGGUAGCAAACAGG
rnacentral:rRNA from 1 species